CUAAAAUACAACAGGAAUGAGGCUGAGGAACAACUCUACUCUUGGGAGGACUUGGUUAACGCAGGAAAUGGGGUGAUUAUGGAGAUUCAUUGAAAGUGAAGUACCAACCCUGGCACAGACAGAAAUCAUCCACAGCCUCAUCCGCUAGCAUCAAUCAGGAACAAACUUGGGGUAGAGGUGAAUCAAGACAAGGUUUGAAUAUGGGAUGAUGUUUUAGCU
rnacentral:lncRNA from 13 species